CCUCUGUCUCUUCAAAUAUCAACUGUAAGGCAGUCUGAACAGAGAAUCGCUUUGCCAUCUUGAUCAGUUGUGGUAUGGAACCACGCUGACAGAGCUUUUUUAUAGUGUCAGGUCCCCAAGCUUGAUAGUGUUGGGUGCUCCAAUUUUGCAACCUUGUGCGGGAACAGUGGGUGCACACUGUGGGUGCUCACACCAAGGGCCCAUUCACCUGCUUCACCUCUCUCUCUCACACACACACACACACACACACACACACACACACACACACACACACACACACACACACACACACACACACACACACACACACACACACACACACAGAGAGGAAGAAGGGAAAA